AAGCCUUGUGUAUGGCCUGUUAAAGUAGGUAGACGCCAGGAUGAAACCCUACCCAGACUUGACAAAACACAUUGAGGUCUGAAUAGCACGGAUAAUUUAUGACUGACGACAUGGGUGAACAGUAGCAAGUAAACAACCCAGAUAUAGUCAAGGAUGAGUGACUUUGCUGGUAAGACAAGGUAGGCAUGUUGAUCAACUAAUUGUACUGUUAACAGAGGCGCACAAUAUUAAAACAAACAGCCAUUUACAUUUUAUUGCAUCAUUUAUAUAUCUUUGUAUUUAAAAUGCACUCAACAAAUAUUAUGCAGCGCAGAUGGUGGUACUGGCGUGGUCUGUGAACGGGCUUGUUGAAGCAGGUCACUGGGUGCACGAAUUACACCGAGCCCU